rnacentral:snRNA from 1 species
AUACUUACCUGGCAGGGGAGAUACCAUGAUCACGAAGGUGGUUUUCCCAGGGCGAGGCUUAUCCAUUGCACUCCGGAUGUGCUGACCCCUGCGAUUUCCCCAAAUGUGGGAAACUCGACUGCAUAAUUUGUGGUAGUGGGGGACUGCGUUCGCGCUUUCCCCUGACUUUCUGGAGUUUCAAAAACAGACCGUACGCCAAGGGUCAUGUCUUUUUUCGUAUUGGUUUGUGUCUUAGUUGUUAAUCCUACAGUGGAGGCCUGGGGAAUAAGAAGUAACAUGUGGCCUGCACGCCAUAGGAGAAAAAGCGAGCAUCAGCCGUAUCGGCUUUGUAACACAAAUUAGCUAUCGUGAAGUCCGCUCAGCUCUUCCAUUUCUACCCUGGCUGCUUUUUGCAGGGAUUGGUCCGUGGUCUCCAGUCUCUUGGGUUCUCACCCUGUGUGAAAAUCUUCGUGUUUUUCCCUACCCCCCAAGUCACCUCUUACACAGCCUCUGCUUCCAAGCGCAGCCCCCACAGGAGUUUGUAGGAUUUCUGUGCUAGCGGGGAGUGUGUUCUCACCUCAUAGAGCCAGGUAGAAAUUAUGCAGAUGGGCGCUGUUCUCUGGGAAGAAAGCAGGGCCUUUGGGGCUCUCAGUGUCCCCGUUGGGUUGUAGACAUAACACUCUUACUUUGCGUAGGGGAACGGCUCUGCCGGCCCCCAGGUGCCCUCGCGCAUAUUCAUGGAGGCCCGUAGGUCAGAACCGCAGUCUCACCUGUCUUGGCGGAAAUGCCCUGCGAUCCUCCCGGAGAUAGAAGGCGGGAAGUUUUAUGAGGAGCCAGGUACAGUUUCCCUACUAUCUCCGGCAGUUCAUAUAUCUAGUGUUUCUUCAGACUUUAUUUAAGCGACAGCUUCUUGUUUGAUGUCUCGCUCCCACAUCCUACAUCCAUUGCCAGGCAACUUUCUAGAUAGCACCCAGACCCAUCCUUCCCACCCCCAAGCAGCCGUUUCCUAUUUCUGGUGCCAGUGUCCUCCCCAGUCCCUCUUUCUUCAGGCCCUCGCUUAUCACCUUCAUGGACAGAAAAUACUUAGC